GUAGGAUCCGAGCGUUGUCCGGAAUUACUGGGUGUAAAGGGCGUGUAGGUGGGUCUCUAAGUCGGUGGUGAAAUCUUGCAGCUUAACUGGUAAAAUUGCCAUCGAUACUGGAGGUCUUGAGUACGGCAGAGGGAAAUAGAAUUCAUGGUGUAGCGGUGAAAUGUGUAGAUAUCAUGAAGAAUACCGGUAGCGAAGGCGGUUUCCUGGUCCGUAACUGACACUGAGGCGCGAAAGCGUGGGGAGCAAACAGGAUUAGAUACCCUGGUAGUCCACGCCUUAAACGAUGAAUACUAGGUGCUGGGCCGUAAGGUUCAGUGCCAAAGCUAACGCAUUAAGUAUUCCACCUGGGGAGUACGAUCGCAAGGUUG
rnacentral:rRNA from 1 species